UACAAAUGGAGGAUGUCAUCAUGAACUUCCUAUCUUUUGCAAAUACUCUCCAUUCUUCUGCUCUUAUAAUAGGCAAUAGGCAGUACUGAAGUUUCUUCGCAUGAAGAGCAAAGACUCCUACUCCUGAUGGCGCAAUUGGGGAUAGUCACGUGUUGGAUUACCCAAAGCUCAGCAGCAAGCAUAAUGAAUAAAAGUGACGUUCUAAGAUGAAGUGCCUAAGAAAUGAUGGGUGGGAGAGAAAUUUUGGUAUGUGACUCACCUCUUUCUUGUGAAGGAGUCCUCUCAGCUGUUCCUCACAGACUCCAGACGCUUCUCCUGGAAACGUCCUAGAUCGCCAGCGUCCCUUGUCCUGGAGGAAUGACUAUUACUGACGGGCAUUGAACUGCGGUUAUGGCAACCUUGGGAAGAUGAUUGACCUUGAAAGAAAGAAACCAAGAGGCGGUGGCAGGAAGUCAGGCCAGGCCAGCAGGCAGUGGAGGUGGAGAGAAGACUAAGGGAAGACGUCGCUUUAGGAGUGAUGGCGGUGGUGAGAUGCUGAAAUCGCCAGAUCAGAUGCUGUGUGUGGACCACCCACAAGCGCCACCUUCAGGCAGUCCCUCAGUACUGUUGCAGAAAUCCUGGGCCAUCUGGACUUUGCUUGUGAGUGGAAAUAUACAACCACCUCUCCUUGAUCUGUCUUGGCAAUAUGGUAAAAGAAUCUUCCAAGAAA